UGGCCAGAGUGCGCUGGUGCUGAUUGCC
rnacentral:piRNA from 1 species